rnacentral:rRNA from 1 species
CCUACGGGUGGCAGCAGUGAGGAAUAUUGGGCAAUGGACGAGAGUCUGAACCAGCCAAGUAGCGGGAAGGAGGAAGGCCCGAUGGGGGGUAAACUUCUUUUAUAUGGGAAUAAAAUGUGCCACGUGUGGGAUUUUGUAUGUACCAUAUGAAUAAGGAUCGGCUAACUCCGUGCCAGCAGCCGCGGUAAUACGGAGGAUCCGAGCGUUAACCGGAUUUAUUGGGUUUAAAGGGAGCGUAGGUGGCUUGUUAAGUCAGUUGUGAAAGUUUGCGGCUCAACCGUAAAAUUGCAGUUGAAACUGGCAGUCUUGAGUACAGUAGAGGUGGGCGGAAUUCGUGGUGUAGCUGUGACAUGCUUAGAUAUCACGAAGAACUCCGAUUGCGAAGGCAGUUCACUGGACUGCAACUGACACUGAGGCUCGAAAGUGUGGGUAUCAAACAGGAUUAGAUACCCUUGUAGUC